UUAAGGGGGUGGGCUUGCUAAGGGUACUUGGAGCCCAAUUAAUGGGAGAGGGGUUAAUGCCCUAAAGGGAGGGGAAAAGGAGGAGAGUUGGGCAGGAGCGUUUUGUCGGCAAUUCUCGUGUGGGGAGCAACGACAACGAAGGUUUCUUCCCAAGGAUAGGAGCUUCCAAUAGCAAGGAAGGAAAGUAGAUUCUUCUAGUAGGUGCGAAUGAUGAUACAAGGGAGGUGUUGGGGAACGAGGAGGCGGGAUAGUCGAGGAGAUGAAAUGAAAUGCAAAGCACGCUGUCCGGAGGUCCCUAGGGGAAUGUUAAUAAAUUUUGUUCCCUGAUUCGUUUUGUUAAAAUGAGUUGGAGACUAUGUGCAUGUUUUGUUCAGAAUCUUAUGAAUUUUCGUUGAAAAGUUUAUAUUGAGUUUGAGGUUCAUAUGUGAUACAAACUUUCUUGAGUCGAUGGUGAAUGUGACUUUUAUUGCUU